rnacentral:pre_miRNA from 1 species
UCUUUCAUCCCUCCGUCAGAAAACUUGUCGGGAAAAUGGAUGUAUUUAGACGUAUUUUAAUUCUAAAUACAUCUACCUUUAUCCAUUUUCAGCGACAAGAAAUUUCGGACGAAGGGAGUACAAA